UUGGAGAACUGGAUCCGUCGCCCGGAAAAAUGUGCUUCCUGUCGGAAAUGUUGAGCGGAAGUCGAAAGGCUUUCGUUGAACGAUGUGUCGCUCUGGAAAGUUGCUGGGAGCAGGCACGCAUUUGUCUUUUGAUGGAGGCGCUUCGGGAUAAAAAUUGCAGCCUCAAUGACGCCCAGUUAUUUUUUUCCAUCACCGAUUACGACAUUUUCAACGACGAAGAAAAAUUGUACAUCGAUCUGAUCGACGAUGGUCCCUCAGUAGAGAGCGCACUGUUGGUUGACAACCAACAGCCGUCGUGUUUCUUGGGUGCGCUGCAAAAAUUGGCCAUCGAACGAUUCCGAGCGGAGUUUGUGCGCUGUUUCGAGCCGUCCAUUACCGACCGGGAUAUCGAACACUUUUUGAUGCCCAACCAGCAGAUUGGCGCUCCAUGUAGCCGGGAAGCUUUAGCGGACAAGCAGCACAUCAUCCAACUUUGCCGAUCAUUUAAUCGAUUGAUCCGCACAAAGAAAGAACAAGGCGACGAAGUGCGCGAGUGGCUCCUUUGGUUUCGUGACGUCGUCAUCCCUUCGCUGAAAUCGUACGAGGCGCAUCAAGGACUCUCCGUCCACCAGAUAAUCAAAUUGUUCGAAGAGGUUGGAGAAUUUUCGCUCGACUUGUGUCGAUCCGCCACGACCGGUUGCCGACCUCACCAGUGGAUCGAUAUGCUCGCCAUUUUCGCCAUUCAGAAUUUACUCGAUCAACUCAACGAAAAGUGCCGUGAAGAUGAAGUUGAUAUUAAGAGUUCCGACAUCGUCCAACAACUUGUACAAUGGUGGCCAUCGUCCGGAGCGCCAGGAUCUUUCUUGCAUACCUUCUACCAGAAGAUUCGGCAGGAAAUGGCGGGUGAUCCGAUUCGACUGAUGAAUCUCGUCCAAGAAGUGACCAACAGGUUGACGACACCCAAGCUUCAAUUUCACGAAGACGUCAUAUUGGCCAGUUUCUCCAAUGCUUCUUUAAACGAUUGGCCGUCAGUGAUGCGCUACGCCCAGCUGGCCGUUGAUUGGACGCCCGACCUUGCCCGUCGCUUGGUGUCUAUACUCGACGUCCAAUUCGGGCAGCAAAGAAGCGACCACUUUCUUCGUUUGGUCGUUCACCGCCACCCGGAACUAAAAGAAAAAUCGGGCGACACUGCUCAUUUAAAAAACAUUCUGCAGAAUUUGUUUCGGUACCCCUGGAUUAAAGAUCGUUGGAUUGCCUUGAUCGAAAAAACUUUGAUGAAAAAGUUAAUGGCGGUGGAAGAUUCAGUUUGGAAUUCGCUGUCCGAUGCGGGUAUCAUCGAAAAAGACAUGAGAAAAUCGAGUAAAGUCGAUUUGAGUGUCGAGGACAUUUUUUCCAUCAUGAGUCGAGAUCCUGAGUCGAGCAAAGUGAUCGGAAAUUGCAGCGAAAUGGUUGAACGCAUCAGACGCAUCCGGAUUAGAGAAUUCGAAACUAAUUUCGACGUCAGAAAAUGGAGUAAUGAAUUAAAGAAGUCGAGCAGCAAAUCAUUGCAGGUGGACGAUUUUCUGGCUGUUGCUUGUCGAGUUGUUCACGAUGAAAAGGGUUACGUGCCGAGGGACGUUCAACUUAUUGCAGUCGCCGCGUUCGUCUCUUCCGAUGAUAACCGCCAAGCCGGACAUAUGAUUCGACGUAUGGGACAAAUUUCAACUGGCGAAGGAAAAACGCUCAUCUCUGCUCUGGUGGCCAUUUAUCAUGCCUUGCGCUACUGGGACGAGGAUCGACACGUUAACAUCAUUACGAGUUCUUCCGUGCUGGCCGAAGCUAACAUCGCCGAAAUCGGAUGGCUCUUCAAGGCGUUUGGAGUGAGCGUGAGCAACAAUUGUGACCAGCAAUGUUCGAACGACGAGGAUAUCAGACGUAACCGGUACAACAACGACGUCAUCUACGGCGACCUGGGCAGUUUCAUGCGUGACAUUCUGCUCACGCGCUUCUUCGAGGACAAGGACGUGACCCGCAACCGCAACCCGGGAGCCAUCAUCGUCGACGAGGUGGACUCGAUGACCCUCGAUAAAGGCGAAAACGUCCUGUACAUGUCGCACAACAUUCCCGAAAUGUACGAUCUCAUGCGGUUGUUUGUCGAAAUCUGGACGAUGGUCAACGCCCCCGACGUCGUUCGUUUGGCCGAAUCGAGUGACAUCGUCGAUGAAGUUCACCAGUUGAUCGAGCCGAUGAUUCCAACUUGCGUUCCCAAUUGUUUGAAGCAAUUUGCCGAACGGCACCUGUCGACGUGGAUCAAGAGCGCGUUCCGGGCUUGUUACCUACUCAAACCCAACGACGCCUACAAGGUGGACGAUUGCGGCGACGGACAAGGCAGACGGAUCGUCAUCAUGGACAAAGAGACGGGAGUGGAGCAAGUGCAAACGGAGUGGUCGGACGGUUUGCAACAAUUUUUGCAGUUGAAACACGGCCUGAAAUGGACGCCCAUCUCGUUGAAGGCCAUUUUCAUGUCCAACAUUGGCUACUUUAGCGAAUUUAAGGGCCGCAUGUACGGACUGACGGGCACACUUGGUUCCGCGGCCGAGUGUGACCUUCUGGGCCAAGUGUUUGGCGUCGAUUUUUUCCGCUUGCCGCGAUUCAGGCCGCGCUUUUGCCUUCAACACGAGCCGAUCAUUGCUCACGAUCGACAAAAUUGGCUCAAUGGAAUGCAAAAGAAAGUCGUCAGCGUUGCUUCGAACCAGCAGCGGGCCGUUCUUGUCGUUUGCGAGAACAUUGAAUUAGCCAACUCGAUUUACGACCGCCUUAAAGCAGACGCUUCAAUUCAAGUCGUCAAAUACGUCAGCUCAUUCGACGAGGCCUUCAAGGAGAAACAACACCAAGAAGUUCUUCCAGGUCAGGUGAUCAUUGCCACAAACUUGGCCGGCCGUGGAACAGAUUUAAAACCCAGUAAAGAGCUCCUCAACAACGGCGGUCUUCACGUGAUUAUCGGGUUUCUACCGCCCAACUCCCGCGUCGAAGCUCAAGCCGAAGGACGAACGGCCCGCUCUGGCCAACCUGGAAGUUACCAAUUUGUCAUCGAAAAUACGGAUGAGGAAAAUCGAAAAUCCCACCUAAGUGGCGAUCCUUACGGCCGGAUGCUUCAGUUGAAAUCAAAGCGCGACGAAGACGAACGGCUCCGAUUGGACAACAUCCGACGAGAAGCUCUGCCAAAGAUCCAACUGGAAGAGAAACUUUUCCACGAAUACUACGAGAAAUGCGUCCGCCCCUUGAACCAAAGAUCUCUCGAAUCAUUUCAGUCAUUUAGCACAGCUUCUAACUUGGAGCAUUUACAACAAAAUUUCAAAACGAUUAUGAGAAAUUGUUUCAACAAUCGCUGGGCGCUUUGGCUCGACGAAAAUGCCGUCUCCAUCGAGAAAGCCCAUCGCGAUCCGGUACUCGCCGACAGACUGAGCGAUAGUUUCGAUCGUCUGACAAUGUCCAUCCAAUCAUCGGACGUCGAGUCUAUCAUGUCCAGUCCGAGCGAAUGGACUAUGCUCGCCCGUUGCUACGAGGAAUCGUCGCGCCCGAGCCGUGCGGCAAAAUGUUACAAUAAAGUGGCGACUAUAGAACCGAAGUGGUGCGAAAACGCCCUGCUCGAUCGCGCCCGCCUCGCUCUGGCCGACAACGCCGGGUACGAAAAGAAAAGGGAGGCAAAAGGCUACUUGAAACGGGUCCGGAAACUGAUCGACGAUCGAAUCGAAGUGCUCACCAGUCUCAACCAACGAGUCGAUCAAUGUUUGAACAGACAAAUGGAAAACGGAUCGUCCCUCUGUCACAAGCGGUUCGAAGAACAAGUGACGAAUCAAAUCCGUUUGUGGCGAAUUCACGCGUCCAAAAUCGACAACCUGGUCGGCGUGUCGUUGAAAUCUGCCCUGGCUUCCAUCCUACCCACCGAAAACGACCAACACAUCGAUCAAGUCAUCGAGUUGCUCGGGAAGUGUUAUUUCAUUAAGCCACGCCGCUACAGGAAAGCGGCUGAAAAUUCGUUCGAUUGGCCUCCGUUCGUCACCCACUGCCGCGAGCCUCUCUUAGAUCUUGUGAAAAAUAAAAAUUGCAAACUGUCGGAUAUCGAGGACGCCAUCUACAAAGUGGAAACAAGGCUUUGGAGCAGUUUAAUUUCCGUUUACAUCGAUGAGGGCCAACUAGCUGGUGGUGGGAAAAUGAUCAAAGGCGAUCAGCACAUCGGCGAAAUACCCGACACCAUCGUAUCAAAAGCUUACCGGCGUAUUUUACCCGGUUGGUUGAAAUUUCACGACGGCCAAGAUUUUUCGCUCGUUUCCUCCACACUCGGUAUCGAAGAUAGUGGCCAAUUGAAGAAGCUGGAAAAGUGGCUGGACGGCGAGAAAUUAUUGCAAGUGACGGACAAAUGCUUUCGUCACCGCAUCCUGAAACCGAUUCCCUCGAUGGAUCGAGAUCCUGACGCUCAACUGGUGAAAGGUGUAGCCCUCUCGUCUUGCGCCGAUGUUGUAGCCACUUGGUUCUCUUCGCCCAUCGUCGAACGGAAUGGAAAUCAGUACGUUCUUCGGCCACUUUUCGAUGAACGUAAAAAGAAAUUGGCCAAACAAUUCCUCGAUUUCCUGGUCGACGUAGAAGUUCUCAAAGAUCCGGCCAUUAAAUUUCCGUCUGCAAACAGAGAGCGAUCUCGAGAAGAUAUUCAAAAAGAUUUUGAUGAGAUCAAGAAUAGGAUUAAUUCCCUCAACGGAUUCGACAAGCUUGCCAAGCUCUUUUACAGCAAAGAAGAAACAGAAAAGGCGAGAGAAGAAGAAAAGCCAAAAAGCACUUUAGAACAAAACAUUAAACAGCUGAUCCCACCGAUCGUUCCGGCCUUUGGUAGUUUGGCUGUUGCUAGCCAUUUUGCUGAGAUUAUCAACAAAGUUCAAGAGGCUGCCGCUAUGACAGAGAGAAGGAAUAAUCUGUCCGCAGCGCUUAUGCAAGCCGUUGGCAUUCAUCUCGGCCAGUUGAAAACAUUGGCGAACGUCAAGUCCUCGUUCUGUUCGUUGCAAGACGCUCUUCCGCCAGCCGGCGACGAUCAAGCGAGUCCAUUCGACGAGGUUCAACAGUUCAACAACCAGCAUUUGGAUCGCGUUCUCAAAGUUGACGAGUACGUGUCACGAUGGGAUUGGCGGAUCGGCGUCGUUGCCCUGAUUGGAGUCGCUCAACUGGUCGGCGCUAUCGCUUUCCCAUUCUUCAGUGCGGGACUCGUCGGCGAGGGCAUCAACGAUUUAAUGUUCGCCUUCCAGACCCUACAAUCACCAGGAUCCUUCACUUGGAAAUCCUACCUUGUAGACAAGGCCAAAAGUUUGGCGCUCACUGCCGUCACUAUGGGUCUGGGAGCCGCCCGGCUUGUCAAGGCGUGCGGCGGCAGUUUCAAGCAAGCGGGCAAACUGAUGUGUCGAUUCAAUGGAACACUAAAAGGAUGGUUUGAGGCCGGCAAGCAGAUCUUGAUCCAGUGCGCCAACAUGAUAUUGUCGUCCAUCAUCGGCCAGGCUGUUAGCCACUUCCUCACGUGGCUCAACAUAUUCAUCAGGGAACAGGUGCUUGAGCGCAUCAAAUCUUUCUUGUUCAGCAACUCCUUUUUGCGAGAGGCUUUCACUCGGCUCAAGGAUCUCAUGAAAUCCCUGAUGAUUGCCAUUGUCAAAAGCGGCAAGAGCGCAGACGAAGCGAGCCAAAAGAUCAAGGAAGUGCUGGAUGGAGCCACAAAUCAAUUGAAAGCCGGCGAUUGGUUUACUGAGCUUCGCACGAACGCUUCGUCAAUCACCAGUCGCAUGAUGAGAAUCUUCAACGACUCAUCAGCUGGCUUGUCCGGUUUGCAGGGCAACUACGCCGGCGAGUACCGGUCACACGCGUCCACCGGAAACACCCAAGGCAUCACUGCCGCUGUUAACGCCGGUACAAUUGAAAAGGCCAUUCAGAUGGGCAAGACUAUCGUUGAUUAUGGCCAAAAAACUACUGAAGUGAUUCAAAAGGUCAACAAUUUAGUGACUAAUUGCGAGUCGGUCAUGAAAUUAUCAACACACGGAUCGACGUACGUCGGCGAUCUGAAUGCCGCUCUACAGGACGAACUGAGAGCGAUGAAAACGAAAAAUCAGCAGGAGCAAUCAGCUGUUGGCGAAAGUGCUGGUGGCGGGUUAUCAGCAAAAGAGGCAGAACGAUUUGAAAAAUUUAUUGCUGAAACCGAGGGCGAAAUUCAAUCAUCGAUAAUGAAGGAAACUCUCGAUACGAUCCAAUCGACGUGGCUCCAGCCCAUGAUCCAACUCCAAGUCGAGAAGAGGGUAAGAAAUAUCAGCUCAAAAUUCGUCAAAAAAUACUGCCCCUCUCUCUUACCGGAAGGAGCUGACGACCUCAAAGACAAGAAUGAUUCUAAGAACGGCGCUGACGAUGGCAAAAUACCAACUGAGGAUCAAUGGAUCGAUGAAAUGGGCAAUGGAAAACCGGUCGGGCCCAUCGAAAUGCAAAACGCGGUAGACGCUUGCGGCUUCGUGCUUGAAAUAGAAGAUAAUACUGGCCAGUACACGCAAGGGACCGAAGGGGACAAGUUCCAUUACUGUCCGGAAGGAAAUCCUUAUUCGGAUAAACCCGUAGUCAAAAUGAGUUUCACGCAGAAUGACGACGGAACCAAGCACGUCUGCCUCAUCAUGCCCGAUGGAACGAAACACGAAUAUGUGCCCGAUCCUUCGGAACCACCUAACCGCUGCUUCUUCAACGCCCUUUCAAAGGCUCAAAAUGAUCCUUCGGUGGAUCACACAAUUGAAAAGUUAAAGAAUCACGCCAAAGGAAACGAUCGAGCUCGAUUCAUGAGCAAAUUGGGUGUCAACCAGAGCUACCAACACUUGCAGGCAGGUGCAUGUAGUAAAACCAGAAAUGGAAAGACCAUUUAUGAAAAAGACAAAUUGGGAAGGACCGUUCGAAUAAUUACAACGGAAACGGAGAGAAAACAGGAGCGCAAUUCCAAAAACAUGAAGGAGAUCAAGGAAAAACUAGGUUUUCAACCGGGAGACGUGUACAGUCACGAUGUCUCGCUCAACUCUGGAGGUGUCGACGAAGUUAACAAUAUUUCUAGAAUGACACACGAGUGCAAUCGCUAUCUCUACCGAGAACAUGAGGAAAACUUUGAAGAUUUUCGCGACUACAAUAAACAAAAUGGGUCACCAGAAGUGAUCACCAGGGUCAUCACAAAACAUUACGAACAUUCAGUCGGCGAAAUACUGCGCAUGGAGAAGGAAGGAAAAUAUGCCGACCGUUACAAAACCAAGGGUUACCAGCACAAUUUUUAUACUGGAUCACUGGAGCAACCAACUAACCAGUACUUGAGUGGCUUCAUUCCCAAUUGUAAUGGACAACAAGCAAGCAUCUUUUUAAUGCGAAAUAAUGAUUUGAGAAGAAUGAAGAGGACCGAUGCGCGCAGAAGAGCAACCAAUGUUCCGUUCGUCAGCGGACGUAAAUUCGAAACAUUUUUUCUUGAUCGCAAUUAAUAAGGCCCAUAUGGAAAAUUAACACGAUGACAUCUUGACAGUAACCAGUGCAGCUUAUGAUUUUAAUUAAUCAAUCCUUGUAAUUUUUUUGUUUUUUUGUUAGCCAUUUACUAAUUAAACUGAUGCCCAUACUAUGUCAACCACGCGAAUCCUUUUCUUCUGUGCAGCACAUUAUUUACAGACUAUCGGUAGAGUCGCCAAGCUCUUCUCAACAAAGACUUAUUCGAUCCAUCGCUGGGUGAAUUUAUUAAGUGUGGAUGUAUAUAUCCUUAUAGCCUUCUGGUCUGACCCGUUCAACUAAUCAGUUUUGUUCCCCGGUUGCGUUAAUCAUCAUUAGAAAAUUUUAUGGUGAAAAUGAUUUUCUUUACCUUCGUCCAUGAUUUGGAAUCGUUUAAGAUUGUUUUUCUUUUUCACAAAAUGACGAAAAUGUUGAUCCUUCAGGUUCUACAGGGCACCCGGCACCACUGUCAUUCAGAAACCGGCUUCGGGGUGACAUAAAAGUGAUAUUCGUACCACAAAUAAAGACAACGACGACGUGAUUUUACUUCA
rnacentral:misc_RNA from 1 species